GGGCCCGCACAAGCGGAGGAACAUGUGGUUUAAUUCGAUGAUACGCGAGGAACCUUACCCGGGCUCGAACGGCAGAGGAAUACAGGUGAAAGCUUGUAGCCAGCAAUGGUCUCUGUCGAGGUGCUGCAUGGUUGUCGUCAGCUCGUGCCGUGAGGUGUCGGCUUAAGUGCCAUAACGAGCGCAACCCCUAUCUUCAGUUGCCAUCGGGUGAAGCCGGGAACUCUGAAGAGACUGCCAGCGUAAGCUGAGAGGAAGGUGGGGAUGACGUCAAAUCAGCACGGCCCUUACGUCCGGGGCGACACACGUGUUACAAUGGGUGGUACAGAGGGCAGCUACCGGGCGACCGGAUGCCAAUCUCGAAAGCCCACUCCCAGUUCGGAUCGGAGUCUGCAACUCGACUCCGUGAAGUUGGAUUCGCUAGUAAUCGCGCAUCAGCCACGGCG
rnacentral:rRNA from 1 species